rnacentral:rRNA from 1 species
GAGUUUGAUCGUGGCUCAGAACGAACGCUGGCGGCGGGCCUCAUACAUGCAAGUCGAGCGCGAAAGUCCGCAAGGAUGAGUAAAGCGGCGCACGGGUGAGUAACAUGUGGAUAAUCUACCCUUUGGAUUGGAAUAACCUGUCGAAAGACGGGCUAAUGCCGAGUAAGCUCUCGGGAGCGUGAAGCUCUUGCGAGGAAAGAUGGCGCAAGCUAUCGCCGAUGGAUGAGUCUGCGUCCCAUUAGUUAGUUGGUGAGGUAACAGCUUACCAAGACGAUGAUGGGUACCUGGUCUGAGAGGAUGAUCAGGCACACUGGAACUGAAACACGGUCCAGACUCCUACGGGAGGCAGCAGUAGGGAAUAUUGCGCAAUGGACGAAAGUCUGACGCAGCCACGCCGCGUGAGUGAGGAAGGCCUCGGUU